rnacentral:rRNA from 1 species
CCCUUAGAUGUUCUGGGCUGCACGCGCGCUACACUGAUGCGCUCAACGAGUUUUAACCUUGCCUGGAAAGGUUGGGUAAUCUUUUUAAAACGCAUCGUGAUGGGGAUAGAUUAUUGCAAUUAUUAAUCUUCAACGAGGAAUUCCUAGUAAGCGCGAGUCAUCAGCUCGUGCUGAUUACGUCCCUGCCCUUUGUACACACCGCCCGUCGCUCCUACCGAUUGGGUGUGCUGGUGAAAUGUUCGGAUCGGCCGUUUGUCGCGGUUUCCGCGUCAUGUGGCUGAGAAGUUCAUUAAACCCUCCCACCUAGAGGAAGGAGAAGUCGUAACA